rnacentral:rRNA from 1 species
AGUCGAACGCUUUGUGGUUCAACUGAUUUGAAGAGCUUGCUCAGAUAUGACGAUGGACAUUGCAAAGAGUGGCGAACGGGUGAGUAACACGUGGGAAACCUACCUCUUAGCAGGGGAUAACAUUUGGAAACAGAUGCUAAUACCGUAUAACAAUAGCAACCGCAUGGUUGCUACUUAAAAGAUGGUUCUGCUAUCACUAAGAGAUGGUCCCGCGGUGCAUUAGUUAGUUGGUGAGGUAAUGGCUCACCAAGACGAUGAUGCAUAGCCGAGUUGAGAGACUGAUCGGCCACAAUGGGACUGAGACACGGCCCAUACUCCUACGGGAGGCAGCAGUAGGGAAUCUUCCACAAUGGGCGAAAGCCUGAUGGAGCAACGCCGCGUGUGUGAUGAAGGGUUUCGGCUCGUAAAACACUGUUGUAAGAGAAGAAUGACAUUGAGAGUAACUGUUCAAUGUGUGACGGUAUCUUACCAGAAAGGAACGGCUAAAUACGUGCCAGCAGCCGCGGUAAUACGUAUGUUCCAAGCGUUAUCCGGAUUUAUUGGGCGUAAAGCGAGCGCAG